rnacentral:tRNA from 1 species
GCAGUUAAGGCGAUGGACUAGAAAUCCAUUGGGGUCUCCCGCACAGGUUUGAAUCCUGUCGGCUGCG